UACAGAGGUCUCAAGCGUUGUUCGGAUUCAUUGGGCGUAAAGGGUGCGUAGGUGGCGCGCUAAGUCAGGGGUGAAAUCCUGGAGCUCAACUCCAGAACUGCCUUUGAUACUGGCGAUCUCGAGUCCGGGAGAGGUGAGUGGAACUGCGAGUGUAGAGGUGAAAUUCGUAGAUAUUCGCAAGAACACCAGUGGCGAAGGCGGCUCACUGGCCCGGUACUGACGCUGAGGUGCGAAAGCGUGGGGAGCAAACAGG
rnacentral:rRNA from 1 species